GAUGAACGCUGGCGGCGUGCCUAAUACAUGCAAGUCGAGCGAACAGAUCAGGAGCUUGCUCCCCUGACUUUAUCGCCGGACGGGUGCGUAACACGUGGAUAACCUACCUAUAAGACUGGGAUAACUUCGGGAAACCGGAGCUAAUACCGGAUAAUUUAUUGAACCGCAUGGUUCAAUAGUUAAAGACGGUUUUGCUGUCACUUAUAGAUGGAUCCGCGCCGCAUUAGAUAGUUGGUAAGGUAACGGCUUACCAAGGCAACGAUGCGUAGCCGACCUGAGAGGGUGAUCGGACACACUGGAACUGAGACAGGUCCCAGACUCCGAGGGGAGGCAGCGGUAGGGAAUCUUCCGCGAUGGGCGAAAGGCUGACGGAGCAACGCCGCGUGAGUGAUGAAGGUCUUCGGAUCGUAAAACUCUGUUAUUAGGGAGGAAGAAAUGUGUAAGUAACUAUGCACGUAUUGACGGUACCUAAUCAGAAAGCCACGGCUAACUCCGUG
rnacentral:rRNA from 1 species